rnacentral:rRNA from 1 species
AACGGCCAUACCACGCUGAAAACACCGGUUCUCGUCCGAUCACCGCAGUUAAACAACGAUGGGCGUGGUUAGUACUUGAAUGGUUGACCGCCUGGCAACACCAUGUGCUGUUG